UGGGGAAUUUUCCGCAAUGGGCGAAAGCCUGACGGAGCAAUACCGCGUGAGGGAUGACGGCCUAUGGGUUGUAAACCUCUUUUUUCAGGGAGGAAUAAAUGACGUGUACCUGAAGAAUAAGCAUCGGCUAACUCCGUGCCAGCAGCCGCGGUAAGACGGAGGAUGCAAGUGUUAUCCGGAAUCACUGGGCGUAAAGCGUCUGUAGGUGGUUUAAUAAGUCAACUGUUAAAUCUUGAGGCUUAACUUCAAAAUCGCAGUCGAAACUAUUAGACUAGAGUAUAGUAGGGGUAAAGGGAAUUUCCAGUGGAGCGGUGAAAUGCGUAGAGAUUGGAAAGAACACCGAUGGCGAAGGCACUUUACUGGGCUAUUACUAACACUCAGAGACGAAAGCUAGGGUAGCAAAUGGG
rnacentral:rRNA from 1 species